CGACAGUCUUUUCCCCUGUGAUGGCCUUGAUGUGGACAGCACAGAGGGAGAGGCCCCAUUUUUCACCAAGGUGGUGGCCCUGCUGGAAAGGGAGAGUGGUAAGUAUGCUGUGCUCUAGAGUCACUCAUUGGUUUGGAG